GCCCCCUACUUCUUCUUCUCCGGCGAGAUAAAAUUUUCCGGCGCGGUGGCCGGUGGUGGCACCACCGCGCCGGAGUUCAAAACUCAACCGUUUCCAAAUUUUUUUACAUAUUCGAAUAUCCUUUUGUCUCCUCUUUUCAAAAAUCUAAAUAAUUUUCACAAACAAACACCAAAUAAUCCUAGAUCUGCAAGUGAAGUUUCGAAAAAAAAAGUUACCAAACGAACGAAAUACGAACGGAUCCGCCUCUCUUCUUUGGUUUCGAUUUCAGCCUCUUCUAGUUACGGAUCCGGCUUCGUUUCUUCUUCACAAAACCGGCUCGGAUUUGUGCUUCCUCUUGAUUCUGUUCGUUUUGAACUCGUUUGGAUGUAGAAAGUGGCGAGAUGAUAAUAGAUGAGUUGUUUGUUGGUAAAAUCGCAGGUGAUGUUAUGGUUUACAUGAUUUUUGUGAUUUUGUGUUCAUGAAUGUUUAUGAGGAUUCAUGAAGUGUUCAUCAUUUCUGUGGUGUUUGAUCUGGUAAAGAGGGGAGAGAGAAGGAAAUUGUGUUUGUGUGAAAAUCAAUGCAGCCCCUCUUCCCAAUGAUUGGACAGUGUACUUAUAGUGACAAAAUAGGGUUGGCUCUGGUACAUAUCAAUGACCAAAAUGCCCCUGCAGCUGAGACUUGGAGAAAAAGAUUUUAAC
rnacentral:lncRNA from 1 species